GAUUAUUUUCACAAUUACUCAAACAGCUGUCACGUACUGAGAUGACUCCGUACCAGAUUUGUGUAUUCACUAUCUGCACAUGUGCCAAAAACAGGAAGUUUGUU